rnacentral:rRNA from 1 species
AACAAUGCCGGUCGCACGUCCUUCUCUUUUCGGAGGGGAGGAAGUGGCGGACGGGUGAGUAACACGUGGAUACCUACCCCCAAGUGAGGAAUACCGGCGAGAAAUCCCCGACAAUACCGCAUACGCUUCCUUUACGGGAAGCAAAGCCGCAAGGCGCUUGAGGCGGGGUCUGCGUCCGAUUAGCUAUCUGGUGGGUAAUGGCUCACCAGGGCGACGAUCGGUAGCUGGUCUGAGAGGAUGAUCAGCCACACUGGGAUUGAGAACGGCCCAGACUCCUACGGGGGGCAGCAGUGAGGAAUCUUCGGCAAUGGUCGCAACCCUGACCGAGCAACGCCGCGUGCAGGAAGAAGGUUUUCGGAUCGUAAACUGCUUUUCUGUGGGACGAGCAAGGACGGUACUACAGGAAGAAGCCCCGGCUAACUACGUG